rnacentral:rRNA from 1 species
AGAGCGAACGCUGGCGGCAGGCCUAACACAUGCAAGUCGAGCGCCCGUAGCAAUACGGGAGCGGCAGACGGGAUAGUAACACGUGGGAACGCGCCCUUCGGUUCGGAAUAACUCAGGGAAACUUGAGCUAAUACCGAAUACGCCCUUACGGGGAAAGAUUUAUUGCCGAAGGAACGGCCCGCGUCCGAUUAGCUAGUUGGUGAGGUAAUGGCUCACCAAGGCUACGAUCGGUAGCUGGUCUGAGAGGAUGACCAGCAUCACUGGGACUGAGACACGGCCCAGACUCCUACGGGAGGCAGCAGUGGGGAAUAUUGGACAAUGGGCGCAAGCCUGAUCCAGCCAUGCCGCGUGGAUGAUGAAGGCCUUAGGGUUGUAAAGUCCUUUUAACGGGGAAGAUAAUGACGGUACCCGUAGAAUAAGCCCCGGCUAACGUUCGUGCCAGCAGCCGC